AGUGAAACAUUGGUUCUUGUACGAUCACCGAAGUCAAGCAACGUCGAGCCUUGUCAGUAACUAGAUGGGUGACCGCUUGAGAAUACCAGGUGCUGGAA